UUUUCUUUUCCUUUUCUCCCUUUUGGCGUUGAUUUGCUACUUUGUGCAAAUAUGGAGAUCAAGAGGAAAACACCAUUAUUAUUUUAUAAGAAUCAUUAGAGAACCCAUGAUAAUCAUAUUCCAUCAGCCCCUUUUCAAUUAUAAAGAUCAACUCUGACCUUUGAUCAUCAUACCAUCAUCUCGAUUAAAUCUUCACCAAAGUCAUUGAACUGAUUUUUAUGUGCAUCUUUGGUUUUGGAUUUUCUUUAUACAACCGUUAAUAUUUCCGGAAAGGUGGCCCUGCGACGAUCCUUUUGGAAUUUGUCCUCUAUGGUGAGCAGUCAAUAUUAACUGGAGCAGAUUGAUCGUGAAAGAUCGCAAUUCAAGAUGAAGGAGCUCAAGUGUUAUCGUAUAGUCUUUUAUGACAGUUUAAUACUUUUCAGUUGUAAAUAGACCACCUAGUAAUCGAGUUGUAAUAGUUUAAGUUUUGUAAGCCUUAGCACUUGACAAUGUGGUCAAGUGUGGCGGUGAUGCCUCCGAUUUAGGUGUAAGCUUCCGCAAAUAUCUAUAAAGUAUGUAUUAUUUCUCAUUUAUUUAAAGUUAGUAAAUCGGGGGUGUUACAAA